UUAGGGUUACCUCAUUCACACAUUUUGUAGAAUCUGGAAGUUUUUGAAGAGGUGUGGAUCGUCUGAGUCUAAAAUCAACAGUGAUGACAUGAAGAAGUGCACUUAACACGCCGGAGAGGGGUUAUUCGUUUGAUCUUGCACCUGAGAAGACUAUAACUUCAUUUGGACACCUGUGAUUGGCUAAUUUAUAACCGGUCACACCCAAGCUGGCAAAAGAUAACUACAAAUACUAGAGAGCACAAAUCUUGUCGUUGUUGUUGGGGUGUAUGAUAUGGAAGACCAUCUUACAGGAAAAAGAAUCAAAGACCAUUUUGCUAUAGGGCACACUUGAGAAUGGGUUGUAUCAACUCUAGACUCCAUCAACAAUAGCUUCCUAUUCUUCUACUGUUGUCCUUUAAUAUAUUUUUCUUGAAUCUA